GAGGGGACGGCCGCCGCGCGUUCCCGCCCGCGCGGCCCGGCGGCGCCCUGGCCCGCGCUCAGCGGCCCGCACCCCACCUUCGCGAGGCCGGGGCGAAGCUCCCGCUUGGAACUUCCCGCAGACUUCGGGGGCCCUCGGGACACGCGUUCCACUGGCGUCCGGGAGGGCCCGGGUCGUCUCAGACGCACUAGCAGCAGAGAAGACGGCAGCGUGAACUGCGGCCCCAGCAAGCCCAGCACUCUUUCUCCUCGGGGAGCGAGACCCAGGAACACCUCUGCCCUGUGCGGGGCCACUGGCCACCAUGUCCAGUCCCACCAACAACGCCACCAAGCCUGCCGUUCCAUACGGUCAUUUCCAAAAGGUGGAAAAUUUGGUAACCAAACAAUAUUUCUGUUACCCAUA